GAAACCUAGUUCAAGUUAUAUCCCAGGAACAGACAAAAUUAUUGCAGUUUUUUAUAUUAUUGUUACACCAAUGUUUAACCCUUUGAUUUAUACAUUCAGGAAUAAAACUGUUAAAACAGCCAUAAAAAAGUUAAAAAUCAAAAGGAUACUCCAACCAAAACAACUUAAGUUUAACCCUUUCACUACUAAACGGUUUGAGAAAAAGAAUCCUGG